rnacentral:rRNA from 1 species
GACGAACGCUGGCGGCGUGCUUAACACAUGCAAGUCGAGCGGGAAACUUCGGUUUCCAGCGGCGGACGGGUGAGUAACACGUGGGCGACCUGCCUCACAAUGAGGGAUAGCCCUCCGAAAGGAGGAUUAAUACCUCAUAACACAAGAGAAACGCAUGUUUCUCUUGCCAAAGAAUUUCGUUGUGAGAUGGGCCCGCGGCGCAUUAGCUUGUUGGUGAGGUAACGGCUCACCAAGGCUUCGAUGCGUAGCCGACCUGAGGGGGUGAUCGGCCACAUUGGAACUGAGACACGGUCCAGACUCCUACGGGAGGCAGCAGUGGGGAAUAUUGCACAAUGGAGGAAACUCUGAUGCAGCAACGCCGCGUGAGUGAUGAAGGUCUUCGGAUUGUAAAGCUCUGUCUUCUGGGACGAUAAUGACGGUACCAGAGGAGGAAGCCACGGCUAACUACGUGCCAGCAGCCGCGGUAA